ACUCCUACGGGAGGCAGCAGUGGGGAAUAUUGCACAAUGGGCGCAAGCCUGAUGCAGCCAUGCCGCGUGUAUGAAGAAGGCCUUCGGGUUGUAAAGUACUUUCAGCAGUGAGGAAGGUGGAGUCGUUAAUAGCGGCCUCAUUUGACGUUAGCUGCAGAAGAAGCACCGGCUAACUCCGUGCCAGCAGCCGCGGUAAUACGGAGGGUGCGAGCGUUAAUCGGAAUUACUGGGCGUAAAGCGCAUGCAGGUGGUUUGUUAAGUCAGAUGUGAAAGCCCGGGGCUCAACCUCGGAAUAGCAUUUGAAACUGGCAGACUAGAGUACUGUAGAGGGGGUUAGAAUUUCAGGUGUAGCGGUGAAAUGCGUAGAGAUCUGAAGG
rnacentral:rRNA from 1 species